GCACAAGCGGUGGAGCAUGUGGUUUAAUUCGACGCAACGCGCAGAACCUUACCCAGAUUUGACUUGCACCUGCAAGCCGGUGAAAGCCGGUCGCCUUCGAGGGUGGUGCACAGAUGCUGCAUGGCUGUCGUCAGCUCGCGUCGUGAGAUGUUGGGUUAAGUCCCGCAACGAGCGCAACCCCCGCGACCAGUUACUUGUGUCUGGUCGGACAGCCCUUCGGGGAGGAAGGCGGGGAUGACGUCAAGUCCGCAUGGCUCUUACGUCUGGGGCGACACACACGCUACAAUGGCGCCGACAGCGCGCAGCGACUGCGCAAGCAGAAGCGAAUCGCCAAACGGUGCCUCAGUGCAGAUCGGGGGCUGCAACUCGCCCCCGUGAAGGCGGAGUUGCUAGUAACCGCGUAUCAGCCACGGCGCGGUGAAUACGUUCCCGGGC
rnacentral:rRNA from 1 species